rnacentral:rRNA from 1 species
UAGGGAAUCUUCGGCAAUGGACGGAAGUCUGACCGAGCAACGCCGCGUGAGUGAAGAAGGUUUUCGGAUCGUAAAGCUCUGUUGUAAGAGAAGAACGAGUGUGAGAGUGGAAAGUUCACACUGUGACGGUAUCUUACCAGAAAGGGACGGCUAACUACGUGCCAGCAGCCGCGGUAAUACGUAGGUCCCGAGCGUUGUCCGGAUUUAUUGGGCGUAAAGCGAGCGCAGGCGGUUAGAUAAGUCUGAAGUUAAAGGCUGUGGCUUAACCAUAGUACGCUUUGGAAACUGUUUAACUUGAGUGCAAGAGGGGAGAGUGGAAUUCCAUGUGUAGCGGUGAAAAUGCGUAGAUAUAUGGAGGAACACCGGUGGCGAAAAGCGGCUCUCUGGCUUGUAAACUGACGCUGAGGCUCGAAAGCGUGGGGAGCAAAACAGGAUUAGAUACCCUGGUAGUCCACGCCGUAAACGAUGAGUGCUAGGUGUUAGACCCUUUCCGGGGUUUAAGUGCCGCAGCUAACGCAUUAAGCACUCCGCCUGGGGAGUACGACCGCAAGGUUGAAACUC